UGCCCCGUGGCUGAGUUGGUUACAGCGUCCGACUGUUACGCAUCCCAUGGAUACGGUGCGAUCGGAAGGUCGUGAGUUCGAGCCUCACCGGGGCAG